rfam:Crassostrea gigas strain 05x7-T-G4-1.051#20 contig29726, whole genome shotgun sequence.
UGCCAGAUAGCUCAGUUGGUAGAGCACCUGACUAGAGAUUCAGGGGGCCCAGGUUCAAAUCCCAGUUUGGUCC